GCCAGCAUGGCAUAGUGGUUUGAGUGUAGGACUAGGAAUCUGGAGAUUGGGGUUUUAUUCCCCAUUUAGCCA